UAUUCCUUUGGUGGUCCCUUUUCAGAUUCCAUCGAAUCUAGCUAAUCCAUGCUGAAUUCUGGUUGCCAUGGCUAAAUGGAAAAAUUUGAAAAUCAUCUCUUCAGAAUCAGCUGGGUCUAUUUGAAAAUAAUUUCACUGCAGUGUUCUUUGGGUGGCCGUGACCCUGUACCAAAUUCUUUCAAAUAUUUCUGUUUCCUUGAAAAACUAGGGGAUGGGGCUAGUUUUUUCUUUAUGGCAAUAUGGAAAACUUCAAAAUCUUCUAUGAAACUGCAGGCUAGAUUUGAAAAUAAUUUUACAGCAAUGUUCUUUGAGUGACCCUGUACCAAAUUCUUUCAAAUCAUUAUAUUUUCAUAAAUACACAUGAUCACUAGAGCGCGGCACUUGUUUUCCCUAUAUGGCUUUAUGGAAAACUGUGAAAAUCUUUUCCUGUCAAACUGCUGGUUCGAUUUCAGAAUAAUUUGACAGCAAUUUUUGACAGCAAUGUUCCCACUGUAACCCUAUACCAAAUUCCUUAAAGGUCAAUAAUGCUUUGAAUUUUUAUCUUAAAAACAGAUGAAACAACUUUCCAAAUAGAUGUUAUGAGUACUUACAUGGUUAGAAAAGCACAACUUUUUAUAUUGCACAUGAACUGUUAUAGUUAGAGCCAUAAAGGGAGGUAAUAGAAAACAAUAGAUUCAAUAAAACAUUCUAGUAUAUUCAGUAAUAUUCAAACCUUUGGUAGCCCGCCCGCUUAGCUCAGAAGGGAGAGCGUUGGUCUACAGAUCGCGGGGUCGCGAGUUCGAUCCCCGGGCGGGGCGUAUGUUCUCCGUGACGUCUUGAUAAAAGACAUUGUGUCCUCCACCUCUGAUAAUUCAUGUGGGGAAGUUGGCAGUUACUUGCGGAGAACAGGUUUGUACUGGUACAGAAUCCAGAAACACUGGUUAGGUUAACUGCCCGCCAUUACAUGACUGAAAUACUGUUGGAAAACGGCGUUAAAUCCAAAACAAACAAACAAAUCAAACCUUUGACAAAUGUUGAAGAAAGUAAUUAUCAGAAAUAGGAUUUAACAAGAAAUUAAUGUAUUUUAUGUUUAUAAUGGAAAAUGUGGCAGCCACAUUUUAAACAAAGGCAUUAUGAGCUUUUAAGGCCAUGUUCACUUGUUAAAAAAACAUGGCUGCCUAGGGAUGGGGCUAGUUUUCUCUGUAUGGCUGCAUGGAAAAUUUUAAAAAGUCUCCUCCUCUGAAGCUUCAAAAUGAUUUCACACAAAUGCUCCUUUGUUGACCUUCUACCAAUUUCCUUCAAGGUCUCACCCACAUUAGUCUGUGUUCAGACCCUGUGUUUUGUUCACAGGAGAUAACUCCUGAGCCUGUUUGAAUUUUGUAUGAUUAUGUCCCUUUUCUUCUCAAAACAAAACAAAGAUAAUCAGAGCUAAGAAAGGUCGGUCUGAAUAUAUACAAGUAAUGAAUGAAAAAAAUUAAAAAAGAUUACCCAGUGGCUAGCAAGAGUACCCUCCCUCCUUGUUUGACCAUCUACCAAAACUGUUCAAGCAAGCUGUGUGAUCUAAGGCCAUCAGCCCUCUUAAUCAGGAAAUGUUCCAAAAAGAAGAAAUAUCUAAUUGAUUCCUGGAGUAUUUUCUUGGCAUGUUACAUUUGACCAAUACAUUACCAGUGGAAUGCCAGAAGUGAGGAAUUAGCUUGAAAAAUAAAUAAAUGGUGAUUGGUUUCUUGAAGAAGACAUUGGUGUCUGUUUUUACACUCCGUUAAUGAUAAACUGGUUUAGUUUCCACCAUAAUGACCGUUGAGACCUCACCCAUGUGAUCCUGGACUCCAUGAUUUCUAAACAUUUCAAAACAUGCCAUUAGAGAGAUAGGGCUUCUUUUUGUUCCAUCAGAUAAGAAGGUGAUUCAGUUAAUGUAUUAAGCAGAACCACUACUUCCUAUAAUUUUUCUAGUUUUCCAUUAAAUGUUUUCCUCAAAAUGAACAAUUGCAUCAAGUGAGCUGUGUUGUUUUUUUUUUCACCAUAUACUACCAAAAGAUUGAAAGAUGAAAAAUCCUGGAAGGGUUUAGAUAAGUGUAAACCAAUUUCUGAGUUGAUCAAAAGAAGAAGAUGGACCUGGAUUGGCCAUGUCAACACACUGGAAACACCAGCAAUUCAGAAGGUCACCAUGAGAGGGAUACCAACAGGUAAAAGAAGCAGAGUGCGACCUAAGGAGACCUGGAGACGAUCAGUUGAAAAGCAGAUGAAAGACCUUGGAUGGACUUUGGGCCAGAUAAAACGAAUGUCAGCCGACAGUCAGAGAUGGCAUUCCUCGGUGAAGGCUUAAGUAAAAAGUUUGUGGCAAUAUAACCAGACAAUGACACAUCAGACAAGAAUCUGGUACACAACUACACUGUGAUUCCACCAAAUAUGUCGAAUGGCACAACUACAUUGUGUUUCCUCCAAAUAUGAUUGAAUGGCACAACUACAUUGUGUUUCUGCCAAAUAUGAUUAAAUGGCACAAAUACAUUGUGUUUCUGCCAAAUAUGAUUGAAUGGCACAACUACAUUGUGUUUCCACUAAACAUGGUUGAAUGGCAAAAUUACAAUGUGAUUCCACCAAACAUGGUUGAAUGGCACAUUCCACCAAACAUUAUUGCAUGACACAACUACACAGUGAUUCCACCAAAACAUGAUUGAAUGACACCAGUAACUGCCAAAUUACCAUAAGCCACUGAAAGAAUGAGACAUUAUUAUUGAACUGCAACCCAUAUUCCAUUACCAGACACUAAGUCAGAAUGUAUACGGCUGCUGCUCUCAGACUUUUCAGGAAAAAAUAAAAUGUGCAAAGAAAAGAAUAUCACUUACUGCAGGACUGGUGCGAAUGGCAGUAUCCAGAUCUUGGGUAAUGCUCGGUGUUUAAACUGGACAAAGCUUCAUUAUCACCUAAACGGUUACCAUGAAGCCGGAUAUUGCUGUCUUCAACUACAACGAGUGAAUGAUUCUGGUUAUACUUUUCUGGCUACUUCCACAUUAUUUCCACUUCACAGAUGCAGUCUUUGCCAUGUACUGAUAUAUAUCUUCAUAAUUCUCAUUUCUUAGGCCUGGAAAUGUCUCGGUACAUAUUUUCAUUGACUCUUCUUUUGUGGCUCUGUAUGCCAACUUUCAAAAUAAUUUUGCAGAAAUGUUUCUUGGGUGAUUAAGGGCCAUCAUGGCUAUCUUGUUUAUAACAUGAACUGUCAUGUGUAAUAAGGGCUGAAUAGGUGUCGAAAUUAGGGAGAUGAUGACAUUAUGGGACGGAAUGGGACAGGGUGGAUGAGAAUAGACAAGACAUGCAGGAUGAUAUUGGAUGGGACUGGACUGUACUGGACUGGACUGGACUGGAUGAGAAGAGGCAAGACAGGCAGGAUGAUAUUGAAUGGGGCUGGACUGGACUGGACUGGACUGGAUAAGAAGAGGCAAGCCAGGCAGGAUGAUAUUGGAUGGGACUGGAAUGGACUGGACUGGACUGGACAGGAUGGGACAGACUGGACUGGACAGGACUGGAUGAGAAGAGGCAAGCCAGGCAGGGUGAUAACAGUAAUUGCUUCGUUAUUCUUGGAGAUAACUAAUUACAUGAUGAUAAAACCAAAAAAUCAUUUGAUAAUCACCUUGUUGCUCAUGUCAGUAAAAAAAAGUUUGAAGGAUGACAGAAGUUCUACCAUUACCAUCAAUGUUUCUUGUUAUUAUUGUCUUGGAAGGAGUAUGUUUUAUUUUAUACAAUAAAAGAUACAUGCAUAUAUGAUUUUUUUAUGUAACCAGGUAAUUUAUCACUAAAGUAAGACCAAUACCAAAUAGAGAAUUAUUUUAUUUACAGUCUUACCUAACAAGUAUAAUUUAGGGGCCAGGUGGUAAAGGUGGCUGACUUUGAAUCACUUGUGGAUCACCAGUGUGGGUUUAAAUCUUGCUUUGGAUGUAGAACUAUUCAUGACUUAAAUUGUGUCAGCCUGACUCUAAAACACAAUAAAAAAAUCAAUAUAGGGCAAGUAUGUGGUUGACUUGCCAUGCAACUUUUAGAACUUGCUUUUUAUGGGCACUGUUUUAUGUUUGUGGUUACUUUUAUAUCUUUUGAUUAUUCAGAUUUACCUUCAAAUUGAUCAUUAAACAUUCAUUCACAUUAUCUCAGUAAAUUUGAUUUUAAAUUUUUUUACCCAUUGUUUAUUGGCACCAUGCUCUGAAGACUCAGUUCAUGUUGACUAGAGCUACUUCCUCUCUGUUUGAUCUUUCAAGUACGGUAGUUAUUUGCUAACCUUUACCCUGCUAAAUUUCUAAAAUGAACUGACCUAUCAUUCAAUUUGGGCAGUACCAUUCAUUAUUUGAAGGGGUGUUCACUGAAAAUUUACUGACCGAAGAGCGAACUGUGCGGACCAAGAUCAGCCUAUAUGCAGACAUGCAGGCUGAUCUUGGUCUGCAAUGGCCGCAAAGGCAAAAUCACUUGCUGCCAGCAAGCUAAAGGUUAAUAAAAUAACAAUCAAACUUUAACCUCCGUUUCAGGCAAGUCUAUUUUAAUUUUUCUUUUUUUACUGAUACAGUUUUAGCUCACCUAUCACAAAGUGACAAGGUGAGCUAUUGUGACCGCUUGAUGUCCGUCGUCCGUCGUGCAUCAACAAUUUCUAAAAAAAAUCUUCUUCUUGAAAACCACUGGGCAGACUUACACCAAACUUCACAGGAAUGAUCCUUGGGUGGCCCCCUUUCAAAAUUAUUCAAAGAAUUGAAUUCCAUGCAGAACUCAAAACUUUAAAAAUCUUCUUGUCCAAAACCACAGGGCCUAGGGCUUUAAUAUCUGGUGUGUAGCAUCAUCUAGUGGUCCUCUACCAAAAUUGUUCAAAUUAUCCCCCUAGGGUCAAAUAUGGCCCCGCCCCGGGGGUCACAUGGUUUAUAUAGACUUAUAUAGGAAAAAAAGUUUAAAAAUCUUCUUGUCUGAAACCACAACACUUAGACCUUUGAUAUUUGAUUUGUAGCAUUGUCUUAUGGUCCUCAACCAAAAUUGUUCAAAUUGUACCCCUUGGGUGAAAAGAGGCCCUGCCCUGAGGGUCCCAAGUUUUAUAUAGACUUAUAUUGCAAAAAGCUUUAAAAAUCUUCUUGUCUGAAACCAUAUGACCUAGGCUUUUGAUAUUUGGUAUGAUGCAUUGUCUAGUAGUCCUCUACCAAAAUUAUUCAAAUUAUGCCCCUGGGGUUAAAAGAGGCCCCGCCCUGGGGUCACUUAGUUAUUAUGUGAGUUAUAUAGGAAAAAUACUUAAAAAAAUUAUCUGAUCCUAUUUCCAAGACUGUUUAAUUAUAAUUACCUGAUGACCGCAAGUAAUAUGUUGUCACUUGACUGUGACCUUGACUUACUGACCUACUUUCUUGUUUUUUAAGAGACAGCCUUGAAAUUUUGAUGACAUACACAGUUUUGCACACAAAUUGUAAAACUGAAUUUCAUUGACCAUGAAUGUGACCUACUGACUUUCUUAAUAUUUUAUCAUCAGUUUGACAUUUGAAACAUGUAGCUCAUAUUACUCAGGUGAGCGAUCCAGGGUCAUCACGGCCCUCUUGUUUGCAGUACUGUUCGUUACUGUUACAUACUACUGGAUACUAAACACUAGUCUCAAAAAGUUGUCCCCCCUUAAAUAAAAAAGUUUGUCAUUGUAAAGAAAUGAAAAUAAACAGUUUUCAGUAUAGCUAGAAAACCAUGCAGAAUCUAGUUAUGUGAAAUUUCAGUAUUUGGACAUACAAAGGUAUUAACAGUUCUUUGUAAAUGGUGAAUUUUAAAAGGUGUUGAACUGUCUGGAAGUGUGCCCACUUCAUUGCAGUUCUUUUCUGGAAUUCAAGGAAAAUACCAGUAGAUUGACAAUCAUUCCGUAGAAUAAUCUAUAUAUUUUAAAAAUUAUGCUAUUCAAUUUUCUUGUAAAACAAUUCUGCUAUAAAUUGGUGAUGCACAAAUUUCUUUUUAAAACAGUUAACAUUGUGCCAUGUCAUUGUUUAUUCCUAGUCAAGUACUUAUGUGAUUUUCAUUUGCUACUUUUUCUUUUAAUCCUUUUUGAUUCUUCUUAUAUUUUUAAAGCAAAAACCUGUCAAUAAACUUAAACUGAAAAUGAGGAAGGAGUUAUGUAUAUUGCCAUACUUGGAAGUCCUAGUCAAUAAAUCCUGCUUUGAACAUUUGUCAUUUGUGUCCUGCUUCCCAACAUAAGGAAAUUUAAAGAUUUACUAUUGUUGGUUGGCUACCAAAUUGAUUUUGGACCUUGCACGCAACAUUUGUUAUGAUGCGCUAAAUCCAGGAGAUAUAAUUAAGGAUACUAUUAAGAAAGCUCUUAAACUUUUCAAA